GCCGGUAGCCCAGCAGCUUGGCCUGCUCCAGGAUGUAGUGGUGCAGCGGCAGCUGUGCCCCACACCGCAGCGCUUCCCGCUGCGUGUUCACGUGCACAUUGAUACUGAUCACACAACAAACCAAGUGACUCGGAAGGCCCACUGAACCAGUCUCAUUAAACAAGCUUCUAUUGGCAUUGAAGGCCUGCAGUGAAUCAGCCAAUCAUCAGUCUCGGCCACAUCUGGUCUUCGUGACAUCUGAAAAGUUUGAUACAUGAACCACACCAAAAGCAAACGUGCCUGCUGCUAGACCUCAUGGCAUGCAGACUUGAAGCAUGACAGGCAGAAAUAUAAAUUAAUAAAAUGAUUGAAACCAUGACUUUGCAUGCAAAACUAAGAA
rnacentral:lncRNA from 1 species